rnacentral:rRNA from 1 species
GCGGCGAACGGGUGAGUAACACGUGGGUAAUCUGCCCUCGGCAUCGGGAUAGCCCGGGGAAACCCGGGAUUAAUACCGAAUGGCCUCUCGCACUCUCGGGUGCGAAAGAAAAGGUGGCUUCGGCUUCUGGCCGAGGAUGAGCCCGCGGCCGAUUAGCUUGUUGGUGAGGUAAUGGCUCACCAAGGCUCCGAUCGGUAGCUGGUCUGAGAGGACGAUCAGCCACACUGGGACUGAGACACGGCCCAGGCUCCUACGGGAGGCAGCAGUGGGGAAUCUUGCGCAAUGGGCGAAAGCCUGACGCAGCGACGCCGCGUGCGGGAAGAAGGCCUUCGGGUUGUAAACCGCUUUCAGGAGGGACGAAGCCACUCGCGUUAAUAGCGUAGAGGGUGACGGUACCUCCAGAAGAAGCCCCGGCUAACUACGUGCCAGCAGCCGCGGUAAUACGUAGGGGGCUAGCGUUGUCCGGAUUUAUUGGGCGUAAAGAGCGCGUAGGCGGCUGGGUAAGUCCGACGUGAAAUCUGGAGGCUCAACCUCCAGCGGUCGUUGGAAACUACUUGGCUAGAGUCCGGAAGAGGAGAGUGGAAUUCCUGGUGUAGCGGUGAAAUGCGCAGAUAUCAGGAAGAACACCGAUGGCGAAAGCAGCUCUCUGGGACGGUACUGACGCUGAGGCGCGAAAGCGUGGGGAGCGAACAGGAUUAGAUACCCUGGUAGUCCACGCCGUAAACGAUGGGUGCUAGGUGUGAGCGGUGUCGACUCCGCUCGUGCCGAAGCUAACGCAUUAAGCACCCCGCCUGGGGAGUACGGCCGCAAGGCUAAAACUCAAAGGAAUUGACGGGGGCCCGCACAAGCAGCGGAGCAUGUGCUUCAAUUCGACGCAACGCGAAGAACCUUAC